UCAAGUGACUAAGUGUACGAGGCGGAUGCCUUGGCGAUCACAGGCGAUGAAGGACGUAGAAGCUUGCGAAAAGCUGCGGGGAGCCGGCAAACGGGCCUCGAUCCGCAGAUAUCCGAAUGGGGGAACCCACCUGGUAACAGGUAUCGUCCCGCGAGGGACGAGGCGAACGGAGUGAACUGAAACAUCUAAGUAACUCUAGGAAAAGAAAUCAACCGAGAUCUCGAAAGUAGCGGCGAGCGAAAUCGAGCCAGCCGUUUACUAUUAACUUAAUGCAUAGACGAAAGGCGUGGGAAAGCCUGCCACAGAGGGUGAUAGCCCCGUAGUUAAAAUGCAAUGAGCGGAACUAAGGUAAACAAGAAGUAGGGCGGGACACGUGGUAUCCUGUCCGAAGAUGGGGGGACCAUCCUCCAAGGCUAAAUACUCGUGAUCGACCGAUAGCGAACUAGUACUGUGAAGGAAAGGCGAAAAGAACCCCGGGAGGGGAGUGAAAUAGAAUCUGAAACCGCGUACAUACAAACAGUAGGAGCCCGCAAGGGUGACUGCGUACCUUUUGCAUAAUGGGUCAGCGACUUACGUUUUGUGGCGAGCCUAACCGAGUAGGGGAGGCGAAGCGAAAGCGAGUCCGAACAGGGCGCCUAGUCGCAAGGCGUAGACCCGAAACCAGAUGAGCUAACCAUGGCCAGGUUGAAGGUGUGGUAACACACGCUGGAGGACCGAACGAACCGGUGUUGCAAAACCGGUCGAUGAGCUGUGGUUAGGGGUGAAAGGCUUAACAAAUCUGGAGAUAGCUGGUUCUCCCCGAAAACUAUUGAGGUAGUGCCUCACGCGAUCGCUCCAGGGGGUAGAGCACUGUUAUGGCUAGGGGGACAUGGCGUCUUACCAAACCAUGGCAAACUCCGAAUACUUGGAAGCGCAGCGUGGGAGACAGAGCACCGGGUGCUAACGUCCGGACUCAAAAGGGAAACAACCCAGACCGCCGUUUAAGGUCCCUAAUAUUAACUAAGUGGGAAACGAAGUGUGAAGGCUAAGACAGUCAGGAAGUUGGCUUAGAAGCAGCCAUCCUUCAAAGAAAGCGUAAUAGCUCACUGAUCGAGUCCUCAUGCGCGGAAGAUGUAUCGGGGCUAAGUUAAUAACCGAAAGCGCGGAUUUCGCAGCAAUGCGAAGUGGUAGGGGAGCGUUCUGUAAGCCUGCGAAGGUGACUUGAGAAGGUUGCUGGAGGUAUCAGAAGUGCGAAUGCUGACAUGAGUAACGAUAAAGCGGGUGAAAAGCCCGCUCGCCGCAAGCCCAAGGUUUCCUGCUCUACGUUCAUCGGAGCAGGGUGAGUCGGCCCCUAAGGCCAGGCUGAGAAGCGUAGUCGAUGGGAAUCAGGUUAAUAAUCCUGAACCGCAUCAGAAUGCGAUGGGGGGACGGAGUUUGGAAGGUCAUCCGGGUGUUGGAUAUCCCGGUUUGUGAGAGUAGGAGGUUCGCAGGCAAAUCCGCGGACAUAUCUCCGAGUCAAAGCAUCGAGCUUUCGUUAGAAAGUGAAGUGAUUGGAAGAACUUCCAGGAAAAGCCUCUAAGCUUCAGUUUUGAUGUGACCGUACCGUAAACCGACACUGGUGGGCGAGUUGAAUAUACUAAGGCGCUUGAGAGAACUCGGGAGAAGGAACUCGGCAAAUUGACACCGUAACUUCGGAAGAAGGUGUGCCCGUGUAACGAGGCAAGGGGAAACCCCUUGAGCGUGAAAGGGUCUCAGAGAAAUGGUGGCUGCGACUGUUUAUCAAAAACACAGCACUCUGCAAAGACGAAAGUCGACGUAUAGGGUGUGAUGCCUGCCCGGUGCUGGAAGAUUAAGUGAUGAGCUGCAAGGUUCUGAUCGAAGUCCCAGUAAACGGCGGCCGUAACUAUAACGGUCCUAAGGUAGCGAAAUUCCUUGUCGGGUAAGUUCCGACCUGCACGAAUGGCAUAACGAUGGCCACACUGUCUCCUCCCGAGACUCAGUGAAGUUGAAAUGUUUGUGAUGAUGCAAUCUCCCCGCGGCUAGACGGAAAGACCCCAUGAACCUUUACUGUAGCUUUACAUUGGACUUUGAACCGAUCUGUGUAGGAUAGGCGGGAGGCUGUGAACGAAGUACGCCAGUACGUCGGGAGCCGACGUUGAAAUACCGCCCUGAUUUGUUUGAGGUUCUAACCGCGAUCGGUUAUCCCGGUCCGGGACCGUGUAUGGUAGGCAGUUUGACUGGGGCGGUCUCCUCCUAAAGGGUAACGGAGGAGUACAAAGGUACGCUAGGUACGGUCGGAAAUCGUGCUGAUAGUGCAAUGGCAUAAGCGUGCUUGACUGCGAGACCGACAAGUCGAGCAGAUGCGAAAGCAGGUCAUAGUGAUCCGGUGGCUUCUGAAUGGAAGGGCCAUCGCUCAACGGAUAAAAGGUACUCUGGGGAUAACAGGCUGAUACCGCCCAAGAGUUCAUAUCGACGGCGGUGUUUGGCACCUCGAUGUCGGCUCAUCUCAUCCUGGGGCUGAAGUCGGUCCCAAGGGUAUGGCUGUUCGCCAUUUAAAGAGGUACGUGAGCUGGGUUCAAAACGUCGUGAGACAGUUUGGUCCCUAUCUGCCGUGGGCGCUGGAAGAUUGACGGGGGCUGCUCCUAGUACGAGAGGACCGGAGUGGACGCACCUCUGGUGUAUCGGUUGUGACGCCAGUCGCAUUGCCGAGUAGCUAUGUGCGGAAGAGAUAACCGCUGAAAGCAUCUAAGCGGGAAACUUGCCUGAAGAUAAGUCUUCCCGGAGGCUUGACCUCCCAAAAGAGUCGUUCGAGACCAGGACGUUGAUAGGUCGAAUGUGUAAGCGCUGUGAGGCGUUGAGCUAAUCGAUACUAAUUGCUCGUGAGACUUGAUCCU
rnacentral:rRNA from 1 species